rnacentral:ncRNA from 1 species
GAAAACUGGCUUGUGGUGAUCAAGCGUUCAUAGUGAUGCCGCAUUUUGAUCCUUCGAUGUCGGCUCUUCCUAUCACUGUGAAGCACAAUUCACCAAGCGUGUGUCACCACUAACAGGGAACGUGAGCUGUGUUUAGACCAUCAUGAGACAGGUU